UACGAGGGGGGCAAGCGUUGUUCGGAAUUAUUGGGCGUAAAGGGUGCGUAGGCGGUGCGGUAAGUCAUCUGUGAAAUCUCUGAGCUUAACUCAGAACGGCCAAGUGAUACUGCAGUGCUAGAGUGUGGAAGGGGCAAUCGGAAUUCUUGGUGUAGCGGUGAAAUGCGUAGAUAUCAAGAGGAACACCUGAGGUGAAGACGGGUUGCUGGGCCAACACUGACGCUGAGGCGCGAA
rnacentral:rRNA from 1 species